GACGAACGCUGGCGGCGUGCCUAAUACAUGCAAGUCGAACGCAGUGGGGACGGGUGAGUAACACGUGGGUAACCUCCCAUCAGAGGGGAUAACACUUGGAAACAGGUGCUAAACCGAUACGGAUGUAUGGACCAGCGGGGCAUUAGCUAGUUGGUGGGGAAACGGCUCACCAAGGCCACGAUGCAUAGCCGAUCUGAGAGGCUGAUCGGCCACACUGGGACUGAGACACGGCCCAGACUCCUACGGGAGGCAGCAGUAGGGAAUCUUCGGCAAUGGACGAAAGUCUGACCGAGCAACGCCGCGUGAGUGAAGAAGGUCUUCGGUUCGUAAAGCUCUGUUGUUAGAGAGGCGUUAUCUAACCAGAAAGCCACGGCUAACUCCGUGCCAGCAGCCGCGGUAAUAC
rnacentral:rRNA from 1 species